AAGCUGAGGCUGCACUUCCUGCGAGGCCCCUGCAGCAGCAGCGCCUUGGUCAGAGCGAGCUUCGGAGGAGCGGUGGUGGGUUCCAUGUGAUGGUGGAGUAGGAGGCAGGUCUCUGCGGUUCAUCUGUGUUGCUCUAAAUGACACUGUUUCAUUAUUUUGAUGGCUGAAGAAUAUUUUCUAGUGUAUGUAUAUGAGAGUUUCUUGAUCUCUUUAUCUGUGGAUGAACAGCCACUUUGAAACAUAUGAUACAUUUGUGUUAAGGCUAGUCACCCUGCUGUGGAAUAGAAGACCAGAAUUGAUCACUCUCAUCUGAGAGUAACUUUGUACCCCAUCACUGAUUCCUUCUGAGACCGCCUCCAUUUCCCCAGCAGCCUCUGGUUUCUUCAUGUGGCUGCAGAUGGCAGGAUUUCCCAAAGGUUUAUGGCUGAAACAUAUUCCGUGGUGUAUCUGUAAAGCAGUUUCCUCAUCCCUGCAGCUGUGUUUGAACAGGUCAUUUACCAUGCUGUCCUCCAGGUUCAACAGUAUGGCUCCAAAUGAUGAAAUUUCACUUUGAUUUUCUGGCUGAAGACUAUUCUGUUUGUGUGUGUCCCCCACAGUUACUUUAUCCCUUCAUCUGUGGAUGGGCAGGUAAGUUUCUUCCUUAUCUUGGCGAUUGUGAAUAAUGCUGCAGUCCGCAUAGGAUGGCUGAUACCUCUUGCAUAAACUGAUUUCUUUUGCACUGAAAGUGUACUUAGUAGUAGAAUUGUUAGAUGAAGUGGUAGUUGUAGGUUUAAUUUUUGGAGGAACCUCCCACUGGUUUCUGUAGUAUGUAUACUAAUUAACUUUUUUUUUUUUUUUUUUGGAUGGAGUCUUGCUCUGUUGCCCAGGCUGGAGCACAGUGGCACGAUC